rnacentral:rRNA from 1 species
UACGGGGGGGGCAAGCGUUGUUCGGAAUUACUGGGCGUAAAGGGCUCGUAGGCGGCCAACUAAGUCAGACGUGAAAUCCCUCGGCUUAACCGGGGAACUGCGUCUGAUACUGGAUGGCUAGAGGUUGGGAGAGGGAUGCGGAAUUCCAGGUGUAGCGGUGAAAUGCGUAGAUAUCUGGAGGAACACCUGUGGCGAAAGCGGCGCACUGGACCACAUCUGACGCUGAGGCGCGAAAGCUAGGGGAGCAAACAGG